rnacentral:rRNA from 1 species
AUCCCAUUCCUAUAAGGAAGUAAGACCCCAUGAAGAGUACAUGGUAGAUAGGCUUAAGGUGUAAGUGCGGUAACGCAUUCAGCUGAUAAGUACUAAUAGGUCGAGGGCUUCUACAAA